CCUGACUGCUAUCGGAUUGAUACUAAGCCCUGCGAGUCUUUGCAGUAAUGCAAGGCAUACGGCUCAGUAACACGUAGUCAACUUACCCUAUGGACGAGGAUAAUCUCGGGAAACUGAGCAUAAUACUCGAUAGAUCAUAAUGCCUGGAAUGGUUUAUGGUUAAAAUGAUUCGUCGCCAUAGGAUGGGACUGCGGCCUAUCAGCUUGUUGGUGAGGUAAUGGCCCACCAAGGCGAUUACAGGUACGGGCUCUGAGAGGAGAAGCCCGGAGAUGGGUACUGAGACAAGGACCCAGGCCCUAUGGGGCGCAGCAGGCGAGAAAACUUUGCAAUGUGCGAAAGCACGACAAGGUUAAUCCGAGUGAUUUCUGCUAAAGAAAUCUUUUGCAAGUCAUAAAACCACUAGUGAAUAAGGGGUGGGCAAGUUCUGGUGUCAGCCGCCGCGGUAAAACCAGCACCUCAAGUGGUCAGGAGGAUUAUUGGGCCUAAAGCAUCCGUAGCCGGCUCUGUAAGUUUUCGGUUAAAUCCAUGUGCUCAACGCAUGGGCUGCCGAAAAUACUGCAUAGCUAGGGAGUGGGAGAGGUAGACGGUACUCAGUAGGAAGGGGUAAAAUCCUUUGAUCUAUUGAUGACCACCUGUGGCGAAGGCGGUCUACCAGAACACGUUCGACGGUGAGGGAUGAAAGCUGGGGGAGCAAACCGGAUUAGAUACCCGGGUAGUCCCAGCUGUAAACGAUGCAGACUCGAUGAUGCAUUGGCAUAUAGCCAGUGCAGUGUCGCAGGGAAGCCGUUAAGUCUGCCGCCUGGGAAGUACGUACGCAAGUAUGAAACUUAAAGGAAUUGGCGGGGGAGCACCACAAGGGGUGAAGCCUGCGGUUC
rnacentral:rRNA from 1 species